UUAGUCGCAAUCAAUAUACCCAAGACAGUAACUGGGAAACCUUAAUUUGUUACCGAGGUGUUAAAGAAAUAUAUUGUAUAUAUUGACUUUGACUCUCGUUUUACGAGAGUUUUAGUUUGAGUAU
rfam:Clostridium spiroforme DSM 1552 Scfld_02_11 genomic scaffold, whole genome shotgun sequence.